rnacentral:sRNA from 1 species
GCACCCUUAUUCUUCUAGAUUUGAUGGAUAUUUCUGACGGUCCUACACAGCUUUUCUUCAUAUGGAGAUGUCAACCCAACGCGCUCGUCCAUGAGCCCUUCUGAUACUGGCUCAACUACAUGCAUUCCUGGCGUCGACAUAUGACCCGUCAAGUGAUCCAUUUGAAGGGAAUUGGUUGAGCGAAGCAAUGUAUGCAUGUAGGUAACUACACAAAAAUGCCGAUAGACUCAGGCAGACUGGUACAUGCACAAUGCAUGCCUCGUACAUACAUGCUGGAUUAAUCCACAUUGAUAUAUCUGGAUUGGUCAGCUGGUUGUUGACCUUUUCUCAUCGCACGAAGUACAGGACAAUCGCCGUGGGAGAUUGGCAGAUACUCAUCCAUUCAAGUCGUUGAAUACGUCCGGGUAAUAAGAUGUAUGGAUGAAGGGUGGCUACAGCUGUAUGCUGUCGUGAGAGAUUCAGAGAAAAAAAGAAAAGAAAAAAAGGACAAAAACAAAUAAAGAGUUGUUUUCAAGAAUGUGCAGGAGCAAAGGUUAGUUCAUCAGCCAACACAACGCAACCCCCAACACAUAAUUACUUAUCCUGGAAGUCCUACUUAGCUUUGCAGAGAAUCGAAAUAAGCUUUUUUUUACUACCCCUGCAGGAAACGAAUAUUCGUGGAAAACAGGCUGAUGAAGAUUUGAAGUGUAUCUCUUCCAAGCAAUGUCUGUCUACAGUCCACCUCGCAGAUUGGACUGCAACAGCAGGACAAAUCUCUGCUUAGGGAUUCUAGCUGGGAAUUACUAUUCAUUGCUGGCCAUGACAUUUUGGCGAGUGCAGUUGAUAUUAACAAAUCUUUGGUUUCAAUAAACAUCAACCGAAAUAUAAAUAUCAUGAAACAAUGUCGAUCCCAUCAACGGUUUCAAGUUGUCAAGAGAC